rnacentral:rRNA from 1 species
AGUGAACGCUGGCGGUAGGCCUAACACAUGCAAGUCGAACGGCAGCACAGUAAGAGCUUGCUCUUACGGGUGGCGAGUGGCGGACGGGUGAGGAAUACAUCGGAAUCUACUUUUUCGUGGGGGAUAACGUAGGGAAACUUACGCUAAUACCGCAUACGACCUACGGGUGAAAGCAGGGGAUCUUCGGACCCUGCGCGAUUGAAUGAGCCGAUGUCGGAUUAGCUAGUUGGCGGGGUAAAGGCCCACCAAGGCGACGAUCCGUAGCUGGUCUGAGAGGAUGAUCAGCCACACUGGAACUGAGACACGGUCCCGACUCCUACGGGAGGCAGCAGUGGGGAAUAUUGGACAAUGGGCGGAAGCCUGAUCCAGCCAUACCGCGUGGGUGAAGAAGGCCUUCGGGUUGUAAAGCCCUUUUGUUGGGAAAGAAAAGCAGCAGGUUAAUAACCCGCUGUUCUGAAGGUACCCAAAGAAUAAGCACCGGCUAACUUCGUG